rnacentral:misc_RNA from 1 species
GAAUUGCGAUAUGUAAUGUGAAUUGCAGAAUUCAGUGAAUCAUCGAAUCUUUGAACGCACCUUGCGCCCUUUGGUAUUCCGAAGGGCAUGCCUGUUUGAGUGUCAUUAAAUUCUCCACUUCAAAAGUAUUUUUGAAGCUGGGACUAUGGGGGUCUGCUGAUGUUAUAGUCAGCUCUCCUUAAAUGCAUUAGCGGAACUUUAAGUACCAGCUUUGGUUUGAUAAUCCUAUCUAUGCCGUCGCUGUGUUGCUUGUGUGUUCAGCUUCUAAUGGUCUUCGGACUGUCUCUUUUAGAGGCAUACACUUUAAGCUUGACCUCAAAUCAGGUAGGACUACCCGCUGAACUUAA